ensembl:processed_transcript 2010016I18Rik RIKEN cDNA 2010016I18 gene
GAAGAUCAGACUAUGGACUCCAGUGCCUCGUGGGGCACAGCACAGGUAUUUUACAUCCCUCAUCCUCCACUGCUCACGAUCACCUUUUCAAGCAAUCGUCGGGAGCUGCAAAGUCCCACCAGGCCAACUGGCGAAUCUAAAACAUCAAGGAUCUCCAGGAACCCAGGACUGAACACUUCUUGCAGCCAAGAUGCCAGAUUGCCCUGAUUCAGAUAAGUAGACUUGCCCACUCAUUCUCUAAAUGUACUAAUAACUUGUAACAGGAGAGGCCCACCUCUGAGAGGCCCAGAUAUACAGAAUAGCUGUGAAGGUGAUUCCUUCACCCACUCCUCCCUGGUAAUCUUUCCUGAUCUAAGGCAUAAAUCUCUCUCACUAUUCCAGGGUUCCAGAAGAAUCCUUUCUCUCACCAUCUUUACUAAAAGGAAGCAAUGACUCGGGAAAUCGUCCCCAGCUUAGAGUAGGAGCCUAGUUGCAUCAGCAGCUGUAGGGGUACAGAGCAUCUUCACCCCUCCCCUACCCCUGCUCAGCCUUUCCUCUGGUUGGGCCAGGACAAGCUAAACAGCAGGUCCAGUACUGUGUCUAGAGAUUGAGGAAGAGGAGAAAAGUAGUCGCUGAUACCCUGGGUUAUUAAACAGAAAGUCCUGAAUAAGGAAAUGUACAGGAUAAGAGGAAGGAGACUUUGCCCAGAAGUAACUUAAUGGGGAGGGAAGAAGUAAAAGGAUCUGGUGCCUGUGUCUGCCACUCCUGCAAAGAAUUAGCAGCCCUCUGGGAGGGAGUGUGUUGCUAUGGUAAGAAGGAAGGCUGUCACCCUACUCCUAAGAGCACUGAAACUGUGGCACCGGUAAAAUGCAGGACUCAGAAACCCAACAUUGACUUGUGGGGGAAGCAGCAAUCAUAGUACAGAUGAUGAGAGUUGGGAUCUUGAGAACGGGGAAGCAAGACACCACAGAAAGUACUUGUGUCUUACUUGUAGCCUGUAUAGACAUGUUGCAUAAUCUUUACUGGUUGCCUUACAGAGCAAGAACAUGCCUAGUACAGAAAGGAAAACCGAGGCAUUAAGUCACUCGGAGGCAACUGAAAAUGAACAGGAUCUGUACAAAGUGAACGUCAUAAAAAGUUCCAAAUCCAGGCUCAGGCCUUCUGGUGUAUUACACAGUAAACAUCUCCCGGUAGGAAGAGGUAGUGGGUGGGGUGGGAUGGGUGGCGAGCAAAUGGCUUGGAGGGCCAGAGUCAUCUUCCUGGUCAUCCCAGAAGCUCAGGAAAUGUCUUUUCCUCAGUCCUUGGGGCUGGCUUUUCACUCCAUUUCCUCCUGCUUUAUCAGGAGAAACAAGGGACCAGCAAUGUCAGAAAUCCCAGACCAAUGAAAAGUAACUAGACCUUUGGGCUGAAGCUCAAGAUCCAACAGAGUGUUUUCUCCUUCUCCCCCUUUCAAAAGAGGUUCUCACAGAAAAGCACGAGAAGGAUCAAUAUGCAUCAAACUCCUCUAUAGUAGAAGGCACCUCACUUGACCUGGAUGCCCUGGAAUGGAUUAUUAUCCUCAAUUUUAAUUGAGGGAGGAGCCACUCCUCUAGGGAAGUCAGGCGUCUGGUUACACUUGUUCCUUCAACAGGAAGCCCCUCCCACAACCACCUGAAGGAAGAGAGGGGACUUUAGGGAACCUUGAUCUGAAAAGCUGUUGUGUGUUCUUUGCUGAACUGCUAGCAACCCAGAAUCACUGUAACAGUCUUCCCUACCAGUGUUUUACACACACACACACACACACACACACACACACACACACACACACAC